ACACAAAAAUCAGCAUUUAAAAAUACAAAAUGAAAGCAAAAUAAUUUUUUAAAAAAAAGAAACAGCAAAGGAUGACCCGUAAAGUGUAUAAGUUCAGUUUCUAAACCAUCUCCCUAAAAGUUCUCUUAUAACCUUAAUCCCAAUAAUUAACCACCCUUUUUUUUAAAAAAAAAGAAAAAGAAAAAAGAACACCCAAUGAUGAGAGAGAUAAGCCGGAGUAAACAACAGACAGAGGCAAGUGUCAUCACGCUUCAUUUCUGUGCUUUUCUUCGUUCUUGAUGUUUUUCCAUUCAUCUGUGGGGUAACUUUUGAUGGAGUUAUCAGUUUCUGUGUUUCAAACCAAAAUCAAUGAUUUUAAAUCAUCCCGCCUUUAACCUAAUGCCCAUCACACUCAACAAUUAACAAAAGAGGAAGAAUUUAACCAAUAAUUGGUCAAACUAAAACCUCAAGUUCUCAACUUGAGAGUUCUGGUCAGUCAAGAUAGAGAAGAAAUCAACAGAGGAUAAGAGAUUUGUCGACAAAGAUCAAAGCAAUUUCAAAUUCCAAUUUUUGCAUGGUGUAUGAAAUUUCUAUGACGACAACAUAAUUGCACUGUAGCUUUGUUGCAAUUUCUUCAACAACAUGGAAGUGCUUUCUACUUAAAUUACAAGGUAAUCACGAAAGAGUCCAUUUUAGCAGCACAUAAUGAGCGCAUCUUUUGUCCCAUUUUCUUCUUUUCAAUUUGUUAUCAAUGUCAGAGAUGUGAAGCAUUUCUAUAAAUUUGCAAAAUGAGUCAUUUCAAGGAUAUACUAUGAAUUGAAAGACCGGAUUAAGUUUUAUUAGGAACGAUUGCUCCGCUACAAUAUGGAACCUUUUCAGAUGUAAGAGAGCACUUAAGUACCAUGUCAAGACAUUAUCAGGGAGAUGAGUUGUCAUUGCAGAGGACACUAAUAUGAUUCACCGGAAUACACAUGAUUAUGUUGCUUUGCUUUUCUAUGCUUCGUGGCGUCCUUUCUCUAAAAGUUUUGGCCAAAUUUUUCUAUCAUGUCUUCUUUGUUUCCUUCAAUUCCCAAUUUCGCAAUUGAAGAAUUUAAGCCACGAUUAGUGUGAAAUGAAUGUUUUGCAUUGUAUUGCUUUCUCUAUAUUAUGCUGACAACUAAGAAUGUCUUUUCAACACUCUUAAGUAUGGAGUUCAUGGGUUUCCAACUCUCAUCCUUUUAAACUCAACAAUACGCAUGCAGUAUCAUGGCUCUCGCAUCCUUGAUUCAGAUUGAAAUUCAUGGUGGCACUAUUGGUAAUCGUGUAUGUUAAAUUGUAUUAUGGUGUCUUUCUCUGUAGCUGUAAUUUGAUUUCCAUUGAAAGUUGGUUUCUGUUUGGUUUGGACUGUUAUGCUUAAUUGGUUUCUCUUUUGUUGGACUCUUUUUUUAAUUAACUCUUUUCUUACGUAGCACAAAGCCUUUUCUCCUUUUUUUUUUGAAUAGAAAUUUUUUCCAAUUCAUUGCCAUAAAUUGCGAGUUCAACAAAAUCUCUACAGAUACUUGUGAUAUAGUUUAAAGCUUUUUGCGCAGAGACGUAAUGGGCAAAAGGCAAAAUAUAAAGAGAUUUAUCAAAUUAAUAUUCUCUUAACAUUGAUUGCAGAUCACCGAGUAAGAUUGCCCUGAUGAUUGGUUAACUUUUCAAUGCUUAUGUGAUGUUAUAUACAUCCCUGCUUUAUCAUGUUCUGAUCAUGUGAUGGGAUGCUAUGUUUUGAUUCAUGUGAUUGGGAAACUAUUUUUUUCCAACUCAAAUAGGGAGAUAAUAUUGUGGUUCACAGAAUUCCCAAAGUGUGUCACUUUCUCAUAGAAUUCCUCUUCUUUCCCAAUUUGUGAAUUUUUUACUUGCCUUUAUGUUCCAAAGAUUGUACAUAGUUGAAUUAGUAAUCAACAUUUGAGCAAAAGGAAAGCAUCUGUGGCGUUAGAUAUUGGAUUCAAUUAAUUUAAUGUGCAGAAACAAAUAUGUGUAUCUAUCUGCCAUUACUUUUUCUUAGCAUUUUUAUCUUCUACUCUUGAUGUCUAAUCAUCUCUUUUGUUUAUGUGCCUUUUCCAUUAUCAGUAUAAGGUGUUUGAAGAUGGAUGUUGGACAAUUGAUGGGAAGAUCGCAAGGAUAAUAUUGAUUUACUUGCAUCGACAUCUAAAGAACCUAUCCUCUAAUUGAGUUCAAAGUACAAUCCUUCGGCAAUACUCAUUCUUGAUAAACUCAGAAGUCAUUGUUUGAAACAUACAAUGAGUGCGUGCUUAUUAUUAUGUGCAUAAAUAUUAUGAAGAGCACAAAGACUCCAACAUCUGUAACAAGCCAAUGAAUAUAACAAAACUAGAAUUCUUUCAUGCUCC